rnacentral:rRNA from 1 species
UACGGGGGGGGCAAGCGUUGUUCGGAAUUACUGGGCGUAAAAGGGCUCGUAGGCGGCCAACUAAGUCAUACGUGAAAUCCCUCGGCUUAACCGGGGAACUGCGUCUGAUACUGGAUGGCUUGAGUUCGGGAGAGGGAUGCGGAAUUCCAGGUGUAGCGGUGAAAUGCGUAGAUAUCUGGAGGAACACCGGUGGCGAAGGCGGCAUCCUGGACCGAUACUGACGCUGAGGCACGAAAGCGUGGGGAGCAAACAGG